ensembl:snoRNA SNORD36 Small nucleolar RNA SNORD36
UUGCAGUGAUGUUUUGUUGUUCUGAAUCUCUCAUGUAGAUCCUAAAACACGAGCUUUUUAACCCUGAGCAAA